rnacentral:rRNA from 1 species
AAUAGAUACCCCGGUAGUCCACGCCGUAAACGAUGAGUGCUAAGUGUUAGGGGGUUUCCGCCCCUUAGUGCUGCAGCUAACGCAUUAAGCACUCCGCCUGGGGAGUACGGUCGCAAGACUGAAACUCAAAGGAAUUGACGGGGGCCCGCACAAGCGGUGGAGCAUGUGGUUUAAUUCGAAGCAACGCAAAGAACCUUACCAGGUCUUGACAUCCCACUGACCGCUAUGGAGACAUAGUUUUCCCUUCGGGGACAGUGGUGACAGGUGGUGCAUGGUUGUCGUCAGCUCGUGUCGUGAGAUGUUGGGUUAAGUCCCGCAACGAGCGCAACCCUUGAUCUUAGUUGCCAUCAUUUAGUUGGGCACUCUAAGGUGACUGCCGGUGACAAACCGGAGGAAGGUGGGGAUGACGUCAAAUCAUCAUGCCCCUUAUGACCUGGGCUACACACGUGCUACAAUGGACGGUACAAACGGUUGCCAACCCGCGAGGGGGAGCUAAUCCGAUAAAACCGUUCUCAGUUCGGAUUGUAGGCUGCAACUCGCCUAC